rnacentral:rRNA from 1 species
GGUGGUAAUGCCGGAUGUUCCACAUGAUCGCAUGUGAUUGUGGGAAAGAUUCUAUCGGCGUGGGAUGGGGUCGCGUCCUAUCAGCUUGUUGGUGAGGUAACGGCUCACCAAGGCUUCGACGGGUAGCCGGCCUGAGAGGGCGACCGGCCACAUUGGGACUGAGAUACGGCCCAGACUCCUACGGGAGGCAGCAGUGGGGAAUAUUGCACAAUGGGCGCAAGCCUGAUGCAGCGACGCCGCGUGAGGGAUGGAGGCCUUCGGGUUGUAAACCUCUUUUGUUUGGGAGCAAGCCUUCGGGUGAGUGUACCUUUCGAAUAAGCGCCGGCUAACUACGUGCCAGCAGCCGCGGUAAUACGUAGGGCGCAAGCGUUAUCCGGAUUUAUUGGGCGUAAAGGGCUCGUAGGCGGCUCGUCGCGUCCGGUGUGAAAGUCCAUCGCUUAACGGUGGAUCUGCGCCGGGUACGGGCGGGCUGGAGUGCGGUAGGGGAGACUGGAAUUCCCGGUGUAACGGUGGAAUGUGUAGAUA